rnacentral:rRNA from 1 species
AAAACUUUCAACAACGGAUCUCUUGGUUCUGGCAUCGAUGAAGAACGCAGCGAAAUGCGAUAAGUAAUGUGAAUUGCAGAAUUCAGCGAAUCAUCGAAUCUUUGAACGCAUCUUGCGCCCUCCGGUGGGCAUGCCUGUUCGAGCGUCAUU